GUGGUACUCCCUCCGUUCGGAAUUACUUGUCUCGGAUAUGGAUGUAUCUAGAACUAAAAUACAUCUAGAUACAUCCAUUUCUGCGACAAGUAAUUCCAAACGGAGGGAGUAAUUG
rnacentral:pre_miRNA from 1 species